rnacentral:lncRNA from 1 species
UCUUGUUGUACCUUUAGAUCAAUGCUCAGAUUGAUCGAGCCACGCUCACGUUUGGACAUCCAUUUAUUGGAUACACUUGACGUUGUUAUAUUAAUGGUUGGACCUAAUCAAAUUUUUCAGUGGAGGUGCCACAUGCCUACUGAAGAGAUAUCUGGGAUAAAAUCUAAUUGCUAAAAAUUGUUUGGAGAAACAAUUGAUCAUGAACCUACCCAUGGUUGCAC